UGGGAAAAAAAGGAGAAAAUUUUUCCAGAGAGAGAGUAUAAUGUUCAAGGCAGACACCUGUGUCAAAACACCCAUUUCAAUGAAAUAAUAAGUAGUUUGUAGGGCAUAAUUGGAGGAAACAUGGCAAGAGAAGAGACUGGAGAGGUGGGCAAAGAUGAUGGUGGACCUUGUGUACCAAACCAAGGAACUUCAACUUUAUCCUGAACAUGACUGGAAUCCAUUAAAGAGUAAGGGGUGUGUGUGUGUUUAUAAAUUAUAAAUAUAUGUAGAGAGGGAUGGCCAGAGAUUCUAAAUGUACAUAGCAGCUAAAGACUGUCCAUUAUGGUUUACAGUAUGGAAAACUGAUUCACAAAUUAAUAUUUGUACAUGGAAUUAUAAACUACUACAGUAUUAGUUUUGGAAAGGAGAGUUUAGAGAUCAUCUAUCCAAUAACCACAUUUUACACAUGAAGAGUGUAAAAUGCUUUUGCCUCUGGUCAUAAGACUUAUGAGCAUCCAGGCUGAUAAUUACUGCCAAUAAUAAUCUUUUAUUUUCAUCAUUGUCAUAUGUGUCAGAAUUGUGCUUGAAAUAAGAAUUUUAUUUGGUUUGCAUUUUACAUCAACAACUAAUGUGGUCAAUGUCUCUAAUAGUUUCUGAAAUAUGAGCUAUAUCAGAUAGAAUAAGAUGGAUUUUUCAGUGACAGGAAAACAGCAAAAUCAGUGUGGUCUUUUCGGAAGGCCACAUACUUAAGUUGUUGACAUUAAUGUCAAUAAUAUAUACAGUGUCAUUGACAUUGAUGUGGGCAUUGCCCACAUCAGCUUUGGAACUCUCCUUUUGGAAAUGUCUCUGAACACUAAGGUAAGUAUAGCUUAGUUCUUAAAUGUUGGCCUCCUGAGCCCCAGAGUGUCUGGGUUCUAUUUUGGCUCUGAACCUCAUGAGGUAAGUGACCUGGGCAAGCUGACUAACUGCUUUAUGUCCCAAUUUCCCCAUGUGUAGAAAGAGAAAAAAAUGUUAUUUACCUCUAGAGUUGUUAUGAGGAUUAGAUGAGUUAUUACUUAUAAUGGGCUGAGACUAGCCUGACACAUGAUAGGUAUUACAUAGGCAUGAGUUAAUACAAAUAAAGCCAGAUAUUAACCCCAUGAAAGAGUUGGCAAGAUGAGUUCCUUUUUUUUUUUUUCCUUGCUUUUUAGGGCUUCACCCACAGCAUAUGGAGGUUCUCAGACUAGGGGUCUAAUCGGAGCUACAGCUGCCAGCCUAUGCCAUAGCCAUAGCAACGCCAGAUCCAAGCCACAUCUGCUACCUAUACUGUAUCUUUAACCCACUAAGCAAUGCCAGGGAUCAAACCCGCAACCUCAGGGUUCCUAGUCAGAUUUGUUUCUGCUACGCCACGAUGGGAGCUCCCAAGAUGAGUUUCUAAUUAUGCUCUGGUUAAAGCUAACAAACAGAAUUCUAAAACCAAACUAUAGAAAAAUAAUUCUAAAGUAUGUUUUUGCUGUAGAUGUUAAUGGCAUUAGUCCAUCAUUAGCUACUCUGUAAAAUAUGAAUGUUUAUUCUUUUAUUUGUUUAAUGUUCAUAGCAAAUCUUUUACACAUCUGUUUACAUGUUAAAAAAAAAAAAAAAUCCCUGGAGUUCCUAUCAGGGCUCAGUGGUUAACUAGCCCAACUACUAUCCAUGAGAACACAGGUUCAAUCCCUGGCCUCGCUCAGUGAGUUAAGGACCUGGCAUUGCCAUGAGCUGUAGUACAGGUUGCAAAUGCAGCUCAGAUCCUGCAUUGUUGUAGCUGUGGCAUAGGCCGGCAUCUAUAGCUCCAAUUAGACUCCUAGCCUGGGAAUCUCCAUAUUUUACAGGUCUGGCCCUAAAAAAGCAAAAGGACAAACAAACAGAAAAACCCCCCAAAGGACAAAAAUCAUGCUCUCUGAACUUGCCUUCUAAGGUGUCAAAUCCAAGUGGGCACUUUCUGGUGAUGGGGAUUAAACUGAACAAAUGAGUUUCUUUGCCUUCUUUAUGAGUCAGCUUUACUUGAUUUUUGCUGCAUAUGAAUAAUUUCAUUUUCAUUUCAUUGCUUUGAUUUUCUUUUGAAGGGGAGAGGGAGAGUGGGAAAGAUAGUUUACCACACUCCUCAGGUAGAUUUGAGUGAUCGGUAAUGUCAUUAUAUCCCCACUAGGUGCAGUUGGUUUUGUGACUGUCUUUUUGCUAGCAGAGUCUAUAGUGGGUCAUUGAACACUUGAGGCAGGUUUAACUUAGAGAAGAGACCGGGAGAGACCUACAAAUGAGGAGAAGCAAUGACUUCACAGCAGCACAUCCCUGUCUGAUGAAAAGGCCUUGCUCAGUAAAUCAGCCCAGAGAGCCUUGAAUUCAGGCUCUAGUCGAUGUGAUGAAGUAAAUAGUAUAAAAUAUAAUUCUGGAAUGAAACUGAGUGGCUCCUGAUCUUGUAACAAACAGCGACUUACCAAAACAAAGAAAGGGUAACAUGUCAGGAAAUAAGAUACAGACAGAAUUAAAAUAACUUUAAAAGCUCCCUGACCAAAAAAAAAGGACAAACUAAGCUUACUUCAAUUCCACUUCUUGCACUAUCUAUUCCCUAAUAAAAUGCUUUUCUGGAUAAAAUCUACAUGUCAGGGCUUUUCAAAUAACAGAAAAUUGUUUGAAAAGAAACUGUGCAAAGAAAAAAAGUUAACUCUCCCUCAUAAUAUUCCCUGGAAAUAGGAAUGAGGCAGGAUCAUCAUGCUGAGCAUCAAUCAAAGUACAACAUCUGCUAAACUGAAAUGUAGGCUCUGGAUAGGAUAAAACUUGACACUGAAAGGUCCUCCUUAGUAUGUCCACACUCACAAUUAAGCAUUAAAUAAUCUUGUGAGGGACAGGGAAACUGGCAAGAAGCUGGAUAUGUUCUAGAAUUACAGAUGUGUUGACACAGCCCUCAUGAAAACAGCCAAGCCAAGAGCUUCAUGAUUUGGUGGAGAUUUAUGGCACAGGCAGCUGAAUUAAUUAGUAAAGAAAGUAUAUGAGAAAUAUUCUCUUAAAGUGGAAUGCAUCUAUAGAAGCUAUCUGGGCUAUUACCAAAAACAUAUUUUUUAUGAGCUCCCAAGGCUGAAAUCACAUAAGGGAUGAAUCAGGCCAAGGAGGUGGCACUUUCUCUGCUGUCAACACCUAGCUAGCAGACAUGACAUGGUGAGUACAAAGUGUGUUGUCAGUGGCUGGCCUCCCCAACAAUAUGGGUUUGCUGCUCCAGAAGCAUCUCUACUGUUAUUUGUAAGGAAGCCUCAGAUUUGCACCAACACUGCAGAUAUUCAUGCAUAAGAUACGCAUUUUCAGUGUGCCAGAGAAAUGGAGUGAUAUCAAAUGGCCUAAAUUCAAAGAAACAAAGAAUAUUCCUGGUGAUGACAUUGCAUUAUCUCCCUUCCUCACCAUCUGUUAUGCACCUUCAAAGGCCACAUCAUUUAGGAAUUAAGGAACUCACCUGUAUCACUUCAAGAAAUGUGCCAAAUGAAAUACUUAAAGAGCAGUAAAUCCAUUUUUUUAAAAAAAGCCUUGCUAUCAAUUUAUCAAGGAUGUCUUAAAAGAGUGAUUUGUGAUCAAAAGCUCUUUCCAUCAAAAAUAUAUACAUUUCCAUUCUGUCUCAUGACUGACAGGAAUAGCCAAUAUUAAUACACUUAAUUAUUUAUGGUUUGACCUUUACUUUUCACAGAAAUUCAAAGAGCCGCUCUCCUUAUAAAUUCAAGAUAAUGACCACACUAACUUUUUGAAUAUCAAUCAACUUGUUAAAAUUAAAGGUGUACCACCAUUUUGAUUUCUUAUUGAAUAAUGAAAUGAGAGAAGAUCAAAAACAGAAUUUCAAUAUACCAGAUAAUCUCUUUAAUUUCCUUUCUUCAACAAAUAUGUACUCAGUUCCUCCUAGGAGCAGGGCACUGUACAUCUAUAACAUGAGAGAAGAGAGUUAGACAAAAUAUAUACAAAAUAGGGACUCCUAUUUAAGAAGGCAAAAAUUUUAUUAAGGAGGCCAAAGAAUUUGCUUAAGUAGGCAAAAUUAUUAAGAUGAGGUUAAAAAUGCAAAGUAACAUGAUUUUACAAGAGUAAGAUCAUUUGAUACAAAGAAUGUCUCUAAUAGUUGGAGGAAUUACAAAUAAAGGAAUAACUGCUGUUGAAUUAGGGAGCUGGCAGGCUGUUAUGCUAGGGAAAAUUUUUUAAAAAGUUAAAUUUUGACUAGAGUCUAGAGGGAGGUGUGUCUCAGAACAUUGCUUUCCUGUAAUGAUCUUCUACUCAUCGCUCUAUUUAAGCCCCAAUUGGUUCAUUCACUAUGUAGUAUGUGCCAGUCACUGCAUUGAGCACUUUAAAUACAAAAAAUGAAACCACUCCUGGGCAUAUACCUGGAAAAAAUGAAAACACUAAUUUGGAAAGAUACAUGCUCCUCAAUGUUCAGAACAGCACUACUUACAAUAGCCAAGACAUGGAAGCAACCUAAGUGCCCAUCAACAGAUGGAGAGAUAAAGAAGAUGUAUUAUAUAUACACUGAAAUAUUACUAAACCAUAAAAAAGAACAAAAUUCUGCCAUUAGCAGCAAUAUGGAAAGACUUAGAGAAUAUUAUUCUUAGUGAAAUGUCAGGUGGAGAAAGACCAAUACUAUAUUAUAUCACUUAUAUGUAAAACCUAAAAAGUAAUACAAAUAAAUAUAUAUGGUAAAACAGAAGCAGACUCAAUACAGAGAACAAACUAGUGGUUACCAGUGAAGAGAGGCAGUUAGGGGUAUGGGUUUGAGAGAUACAAACUACUAUGUAUAAAAUUGAUAAGCAACAAGGGUAUAUUGGCUAGCACAAGGAAUUAUAGCUGUUAUCUUGUAAUAACUUUCAAUGGAGUAGAAACUGUAAAAAUACUGAAUCACUAUGCUGUAGACCUGAAACGAAUAUAAUACUGUAAAUCAAUUAUACUUCAAUUUUUUUUAAAAAAAAGGUGAAAACUGAAUUAAGUAUUAAGAGGAGAACAGACGGUUCCAUAAAAGUGGGAGAGAAGGCCGUACCAGACAUAAUAACCAUGCAACGUUUGCAGGGCUCCAUGGUGGGCUUUCCAGAAUCUGAGAGCAGAGAAGUGUCAGGAACUACAGAAGAUCUGAUAGAAAGUAGAUCUGGGCCAGAAUAUAAAGAAGGUUCUUUAUGUACAAGUCUAUCCUUCUCAGCACUAAAUGCACGUUGAGAAUAACUUUUUUUAUAUGUAUUUUUUACCCCCAGCAUUGUUAUCCAGUUGGUCUAAGGGGAGACAAGAUGGGAACCACUAUCAGAUACUUCAUUGUUUGGUAUUGUUCUAAAAUUAAUCUUGUGAGGCCAAAAGAAGCACAAAAGAAACAAAUGUGUUUUAUGUUGGAUAUUGACUUUUAUCACUAAUUUCAAUUCUUAAAUGAGACAAUAUUUAUUAAGAAAAGACUAAAUGUAUCAUAAAUACAUUAUUAAUAAUGUAUUUAUCAAUAAAUACAUAUAAUAAUGUAUGAUAAAGAUUGCAUUUAUUAUCAAGUAUUUCACUUAAUCAGCCAGAUAGUUAAUAUUGGCUAGACAAGUGCUUAUGAAUUAUGGCAUUGCUUUUGGCAAAACAAUUUAUCUGUGUGACACGAUAUGUCACUUUUGAACUUCAACUUGACAUCCAUAAAAUUACAUUUUCAUCAAACUGAAAGAUCAAGCUUUCCAUGCUGACUCACUUGGGUCAACAUUUUGCAAAUGCCUAGAUUUACCACUUGAACCACAAACGCUUUGUGAAUAAUUCUGAGCACUGAUGUUUGAUAGCCUAGGGCACAGAUCAUCAUUUCUGAGUAGAAGAAGGGGUGUCAAAGCAAAAUGCAUUUCCUUUGUGCAUACCCGAUGACUUACUCCAAAGACUAUUCUCAUCAGGUUAUUUUGAAAUCACUGGAUAAACACUAACUUUGUUGAGCCUCAAAGGAAUGUAAACAGCAUCCAUGAUGCAUCUUCUACUUCUUAGGAUUAGGAAAGAGCAUCACCUCCACUGCCAGAGGAUUUUCACUAGUGUAACCUGUAACUAGGUACUUGCCACACUUGGGGUGAUUCCCUUCUUUAGGUUAGGCUUGGUUUAAGGUUCUUUAAAUGUAAGCAACGAGGUAGAAAUUUCGAAACUGACCACAAGACCUAGAGAGUCACGAAUUACUCUGUCCUUAAUUCCAUACU
rnacentral:lncRNA from 1 species